rnacentral:rRNA from 1 species
UACGGAGGGUCCAAGCGUUAUCCGGAAUCAUUGGGCUUAAAGGGUCCGUAGGCGGUUUUUUACGUCAGUGGUGAAAGCCCAUCGCUCAACGGUGGAACGGCCAUUGAUACUGCAAGACUUGAAUUAUUGGGAAGUAACUAGAAUAUGUAGUGUAGCGGUGAAAUGCUUAGAGAUUACAUGGAAUACCAAUUGCGAAGGCAGGUUACUACCAAUAUAUUGACGCUGAUGGACGAAAGCGUGGGGAGCGAACAGG